GCAGCAGGCACGCAAAUUACCCACUCCCGGCACGGAGAGGUAGUGACAAAAAAUAACGAUACGGGACUCUAUUGAGGCCCCGUAAUCGGAAUGAGUACACUUUAAAUCCUUUAACCAGGAUCGAUUGGAGGGAAAGUCUGGUGCCAGCAGCCGCGGUAAUUCCAGCUCCAAUAGCGUAUAUUAAAGUUGUUGCAGUUAAAAAGCUCGUAGUUGGUUUUGCGUGCCACGCUGUCGGUUCGCCGCCUGUCGGUGAAACUGGCAUGCCGUGGUACGUCCUGCCGGUGGUAAACGGUUACCUGGCGUGUGGCUUAGAACUUUUGUUUUUUGUCGCUGCCUUUGUGUAAUCGUUUGCCGAUUUUAUCCUACCCGGUGCUCUUAAACGAGUGUCGAGGUAGGCCGGCAAAUUUACUUUGAACAAAUUAGAGUGCUUCAUGCAGGCUUGAAAUAUAGCCUGAAUAGUGGUGCAUGGAAUAAUAGAAUAGGACCUCGGUUCUAUUUUGUUGGUUUUCGGAACUCAAGGUAAUGAUCAAUGUGGACAAGCGGGGGCAUUCGUAUUGCGGCGUUAGAGGUGAAAUUCUUGGAUCGUCGCAAGACGCACAAGAGCGAAAGCAAUUGCCAAGUAUGUCUUAAUUGAUCAAGAACGAAAGUUAGAGGUUCGAAGGCGAUCAGAUACCGCCCUAGUUCUAACCAUAAACGAUGCCAGCCAGCGAUCCGACGUGUUCAUAUUAUGACACGUGCGGGCAGCUUCUUCCCGGGAAACCAAAGCUUUUGGGUUCCGGGGGAAGUAUGGUUGCAAAGCUGAAACUUAAAGGAAUUGACGGAAGGGCACCACCAGGAGUGGAGCCUGCGGCUUAAUUUGACUCAACACGGGAAACCUCACCAGGUCAGGACAUUGUAAGGAUUGACAGAUUGAUAGCUCUUUCUUGAUUCAGUGGGUAGUGGUGCAUGGCCGUUC
rnacentral:rRNA from 1 species